rnacentral:rRNA from 1 species
AGAGUUUGAUCCUGGCUCAGGACGAACGCUGGCGGCGUGCUUAACACAUGCAAGUCGAACGAUGACGACCGAGCUUGCUCGGUCUGAUUAGUGGCGAACGGGUGAGUAACACGUGAGUAACCUGCCCCCCACUUCGGGAUAACUUCGAGAAAUCGUGGCUAAUACCGGAUAUGAACUUCCGCCGCAUGGUGGUUGUUGGAAAGUUUUUCGGUGGGGGAUGGACUCGCGGCCUAUCAGUUUGUUGGUGAGGUAAUGGCUCACCAAGACGAUGACGGGUAGCCGGCCUGAGAGGGCGACCGGCCACACUGGGACUGAGACACGGCCCAGACUCCUACGGGAGGCAGCAGUGGGGAAUAUUGCACAAUGGGCGAAAGCCUGAUGCAGCGACGCCGCGUGAGGGAUGACGGCCUUCGGGUUGUAAACCUCUUUCAGUAGGGAAGAAGCGAGAGUGACGGUACCUGCAGAAGAAGCGCCGGCUAACUACGUGCCAGCAGCCGCGGUAAUACGUAGGGCGCAAGCGUUGUCCGGAAUUAUUGGGCGUAAAGAGCUUGUAGGUGGCUUGUCGCGUCUGCCGUGAAAACCCGAGGCUCAACCUCGGGCGUGCGGUGGGUACGGGCAGGCUAGAGUGUGGUAGGGAGACUGGAACUCCUGGUGUAGCGGUGAAAUGCGCAGAUAUCAGGAAGAACACCGAUGGCGAAGGCAGGUCUCUGGGCCAUUACUGACACUGAGAAGCGAAAGCAUGGGUAGCGAACAGGAUUAGAUACCCUGGUAGUCCAUGCCGUAAACGUUGGGCACUAGGUGUGGGG